CCCACCCCACCCGCCCCUCCCCCGCCUCCCCAGCCAUCUGUGGCGUUGGCAGCAGCAGUGCCAGGGCGGGCGGGUUCACGCUGCACCUUUACCAGGGUAGGACUGGCCAGCCUGGGCUCUACCGGGCAGGUCGGUGGGAUGCUUCAGACUGGAGGGAUAGGCAGGGGGCAACACUGGUCCUCCUGAAGCCACCUUCCCUUCCUGAGAGCUCCUUGGGGAGAAGGCAAGCCCUGGAAGCCACCGACUGGGGGCUCGGGCAGAGCAAGGGCAGGGUAAGGGGCAGCUUGGCCAGGAGGCACCCUUGGGAGCCAGGGUUUCCUCAUCUGUAAAAUGUGACUCUGCGAGGGCAGGAGCUUGGUUUCACUCGCUACUGUACCCCCUGGGGCCUACAGCAGGGCUGGUUGGUACACACUAGGUGUCUAAUAAAUGUUGAGGGAUUGAAUGGAUGGACCGAUGAAAAGGUUGG
ensembl:lncRNA novel transcript, overlapping to BEGAIN